GACAGCUGUGGACACUUGGGCUGACUGCAGACCUCCCGCUACCCUGAUUUCCAGCAAGUGAGCCAGCGCCAUGAGGAGUGGCUGCCUCUUGAAUCCUGUCAGUCUCCGGCAGAUCCGAUUACAUCUGGGACCCUUAAGAGUACUUGAAGCAAACGGCGCUGGUCUAUUUUAAUCCUGCUCCUUCUAGAAACUAGAAACUGUAAGGAGAGUCUUCCUGCUGACAGGUGGCUCCAUAAAAGUCGUCCAUCUGCUGCUAAUUAUGGCAGAAAGAAAAUUCACAGAGCCGAGUUUUCAGUUUAUUUGCUAAAGAUCUCCAAAGGUGUAACUGUCUUCCCAGAUCACAAGGCCAUUCACAGCGUUACAUCUAUAGCGCUUGUUAAUUAUUUAAAUAAUUUACAACUCGGGGUGGCAGCGAGCAUUU
rnacentral:lncRNA from 1 species